CAGUUUUGCAUAUGCACCAGCAAGGCUCUUGGAUCAAGCCCUACAGCAGAAAGCAAGCAGUAUGUGGUGCCGUGGAAGCAAGAUGCUAAGAAAAUACACCUGCGAACAGUGAUGUAUCAAUGGCUGGAGCGAGACAGGAGAGGAGGAACAGGAGGAGGAGAGUGAGAGAAACUGAUUGCCAACCUUAGUCCAGUGAAAACUUUGCUCCGAUAAUAUUUCCUUGGCCUGACCAAUCCAGAUCAACAAUCCUCUUCUUUGGUGAUUGAAUAAGGGAAGAAGCUCUGUGAGCUGGGUGACCUUGAACACAUCACUUCACUUCCUUGAGCUUCAAUAUACCUGCCAUCAAAUGGGAACAAUCAUGUUUACCUCCCUGAAUAGUCAAGAGGAUUAAAUUAAAUAGUGAGGU
rnacentral:lncRNA from 1 species